UACGAAGGGGGCUAACGUUGUUCGGAAUCACUGGGCUUAAAGGGCGCGUAGGCGGGUGUGCAAGUCUGUGGUGAAAGCCUCCAGCUUAACUGGAGAAGUGCCGUGGAUACUGCACAUCUUGAGGAGGGUAGGGGCAUCUGGAACGGUCGGUGGAGCGGUGAAAUGCGUUGAUAUCGACCGGAGCUCCGGUGGCGAAGGCGAGGUGCUGGACCCUUUCUGACGCUGAGGCGCGAAAGCCAGGGGAGCAAACGGG
rnacentral:rRNA from 1 species